UGAACGCUAGCGACAGGCCUAACACAUGCAAGGUCAGGGGCGAGCACAAGGAGCAAUCUGAGGUGGCGACCGGCGCACGGGUGAGUAACACGUAUGCAACCUGCCUGUAAGCGGGGAAUAACCCGUUGAAAGACGGACUAAUACCGCAUAAUACUAAAUUACUGCAUGGUAAUUUAUUUAAACAUUUAUGGCUUACAGAUGGGCAUGCGCAUGAUUAGCUAGUUGGAGAGGUAACGGCUCCCCAAGGCAACGAUCAUUAGGGGUUCUGAGAGGAAGGUCCCCCACACUGGUACUGAGACACGGACCAGACUCCUACGGGAGGCAGCAGUGAGGAAUAUUGGUCAAUGGACGAGAGUCUGAACCAGCCAAGUCGCGUGCAGGAAGAAUGUCCCUAUGGAUUGUAAACUGCUUUUGCAGGGGAAUAAAGUGCAUCACGUGUGAUGUUUUGUAUGUACUCUGCGAAUAAGGAUCGGCUAACUCCGUGCCAGCCGCUGC
rnacentral:rRNA from 1 species